rnacentral:ncRNA from 1 species
UACCUGGUUGAUCCUGCCAGUAGUCAUAUGCUUGUCUCAAAGAUUAAGCCAUGCAAGUCUAAGUACGAGCUCUCGUACAGUGAAACUGCGAAUGGCUCAUUAAAUCAGUCAUGGUUCAUUUGAUCGUACAGUUUACUUGGAUAACUGUGGUAAUUCUAGAGCUAAUACAUGCGAGAAGCGCCGACCUCGCGGGAGGCGUGCAUUUAUCAGACCAAAAACCGGCCGCGUCUUCGGGCGCGUUCGCCUUGGUGACUCUGGAUAACUUUGCGGAUCGCACGGUCUAGCACCGGCGACGGAUCAUUCAAGUGUCUGCCCUAUCAACUUUCGUCGGUACGGUAUUUGCCUACCGAGGUUCUUACGGGUGACGGGGAAUCAGGGUUCGAUUCCGGAGAGGGAGCCUGAGAAACGGCUACCACAUCCAAGGAAGGCAGCAGGCGCGCAAAUUACCCAUUCCCGACGCGGGGAGGUAGUGACGAAAAAUAACAAUGCAGGACUCGUUCGAGGCCCUGUAAUUGGAAUGAGUACACUUUAAAAGCUUUAACGAGUAUCCAUUGGAGGGCAAGUCUGGUGCCAGCAGCCGCGGUAAUUCCAGCUCCAAAAGUAUAUAUUUAAGUUGUUGCGGUUAAAAAGCUCGUAGUUGGAUUUUGGGCGCAGGCGGCCGGUCCGUCGCAAGGCGUGUACUGGACGUCCUGGCCUUCCCUCCGGUUCUCCGCCGGUGCUCUUGACUGAGUGUCGGCGGCGGCCGGAACGUUUACUUUGAAAAAAUUAGAGUGUUCAAAGCAGGCUCUCGAGC